UACGGAGGGUGCGAGCGUUGUCCGGAAUCACUGGGCGUAAAGGCGCGUAGGCGGCCUGAUAAGUAGGGGGUGAAAUCCUGCGGCUUAACCGCAGGGCUGCCUUCUAAACUGUCGGGCUAGAGCACGGUAGAGGCAGAUGGAAUUCCCGGUGUAGCGGUGGAAUGCGUAGAGAUCGGGAAGAACAUCAGUGGCGAAGGCGGUCUGCUGGGCCGUUGCUGACGCUGAGGCGCGCAGCGUGGGGGAGCAAACAGG
rnacentral:rRNA from 1 species